rnacentral:lncRNA from 1 species
GGAAGUGGUUCACUAGCUCUAUCUCACAGUGCUGGUGGAGAGUAAUUUACUACACCUCGGAAAACACUUUGCCACUGACUUGCAAAGCUGAACGAAACCCAAAAGACCUGGCAUAUCCACGUCAAGAUACAGUCUCACUGUGUUUUCCAGGCUGAUUCCAAACUCCUGGGCUCCAGUGAUGCUCCUGCCUCAGCCUUCAGAGUAGCUGGAACUACAGGCACCCACCACUGUGUCUGGCUCAUGUCUUUUUGGUCCAUGGCCGUGAGGACAUGGCCCCAAGGCUGCCCCACCUCUCAGAUAAUGAGGGAAACAGACAACUACCUAGGGAAGCAGAGAAUGACACGCAGGAGAAUGACAC